GAAGGAAAAAGGAUUCAACUUUCUCCCCAGCCAUUUUGCUCUCUCUUCCCCUGCUGCAGCAAUUGUGAAAGCCACGCAUUUAGAUGGUGAAGCCACAAAAUGGAAACAGCCUGGAUCCCUGAGUCACCAGAUGCAGAAACAGCUGCCCUGAAAAGUUGUCCAUCUUGCACUAUACAUGCCCAUGUACGAGAAAUACAAGCCUUUUCUGGCCGGGCGCGGUGGCUCACGCCUGUAAUCCCAGCACUUUGGGAAGCCGAGGCGGGCAGAUCAUUUGAGGUCAGGAGUUCGAGAUCAGCCUGGCCAACAUGGUGAAACCCCGUCUCUACAAAAAAUAUAAAAAUUAGCCAGGCAUGGUGGCAGGCGCUUGUAAUCCCAGCUACUCAGGUGGCUGAGGUAGGAGAAUCGCUUGAACCUGGGAGGCAGUGGUUGCAGUGAGCCGAGAUUACACCAUUGCACUCCAGCCUGGGUGAUAAGAGCAAAACUCUGUCUCAAAAAAAAAAAAAAGGCCUUUUCUGUGGUUAAGAAAUGAGAAUCAAGUUUAAGAUAUUUGAGAUUUUUCUUUUUAUUAUUUUUUUCCUUAGAGGUAAUUGUGGGGUGGAGGUGGGGGUCUUGCUAUCUUGCCCAGGCUGGACUCAAACUCCUGGGUUCAAGCAAUCCUCCAGUCUCAGCCUCCCAAGUAGCUGGGACUAUAGGUACACACUACCACACCAGUUUCUUUGAGAUUUUUGUACAUCGGGAUAUAUAGCUCAUUCUUUUUAAGAUUUGCCAAGUGUUCCAUUGUAUGACUAUAAUAUAUUUAGGAGGUACAUUUCUUUAAUUUAAAUUUUUGAAUUGAUAUUAUAUACCAUAUGGUUUUAAAUUAAAAUGGUUCAAAAAAGUAUAUAUGUGAAAAAUUCUCACUCUCAUUGCUGCCCUGAGCCAAUAAAUUCCCCACCAAAGGUAACCAAUAUUUCCUGUUCCUUAUGUGUACUUCCAGAGUUAUGUCAUACAUAGGAUAUUUAAAGGAACCUCACUCGUCUCAAGUUUGGCCGAGACACCAAAACAAUAAGGUCACACUUCAAAGUUACGGGCAAGUCCACCAAUACAGGAUUUGCAAAAGAAGAUUAUAGAAAACCAAUUUUCAUGCCGGGCGCGCUGGCUGACGCCUGUAAUCCCAGCACUUUGGGAGGCCGAGGCAGGUGGAUCACGAGGUCAGGAGAUCGAGACCAUCCUGGCCAACAUGGUAAAACUCCAUCUCUACUAAAAAUACAAAAAUGAGCUGGAUGUGGUGGUACGUGCUUGUAAUUCCAGGUACUUGGGAGGCUGAGGUAGGAGAAUCACUUGAACCCAGGAGGCAGAGAUUGCAGUGAGCCAAGAUAGUGUCACUGCACUCCAACCUGGCGACAGAGCAAGACUCCAUCUCAAAAAAAAAAAAAAAAAAGAAAAGAAAACCAGUUUUCAAUCUUCAUUCACUACCCAUCCGCAGCCUGCAAAAGAUGUUGAAGAGAUUGAAAAAAAAAAAGACUCAAGGUUUUAGAAAAAGCUAUUGCUGAACUGAGUCACUGAGUCAUUGCCUCCAACCUCAUCCUAAGGGGUACAUGCCCCUCACCUCACACUAAUAAAACGAAUUUUACUGGGAUCACAUAGUAGAAUAUGUGUUUCUUCGUCUUUGAGAGGCACAGUGGGCUGAAGUCUGAGUUGUCUGGGAUGUGUAAAGGGUUAAGGGUUAAUGCAGGCAUCCUGUGGGGUAGAGAAGAGGUUGCGAUUUGGGAUAUAGC
rnacentral:lncRNA from 1 species